AUUGAACGCUGGCGGCAUGCUUUACACAUGCAAGUCGAACGGUAACAGCACUUCGGUGGCUGACGAGUGGCGAACGGGUGAGUAAUGUAUCGGAACGUGCCCAGUAGUGGGGGAUAACUACUCGAAAGAGUGGCUAAUACCGCAUGAGAUCUCUGGAUGAAAGCGGGGGACCGUAAGGCCUCGCGCUACUGGAGCGGCCGAUAUCAGAUUAGGUUGUUGGUGGGGUAAAGGCCUACCAAGCCUGCGAUCUGUAGCUGGUCUGAGAGGACGACCAGCCACACUGGGACUGAGACACGGCCCAGACUCCUACGGGAGGCAGCAGUGGGGAAUUUUGGACAAUGGACGCAAGUCUGAUCCAGCAAUGCCGCGUGCAGGACGAAGGCCUUCGGUUGUAAACUGCUUUGUACGGACGAAAGCCUUCUUCUAAUACAGGAGGGUCAUGACGGUACCGUAAGAAUAAGACACCGGCUAACUACGUGCCAGCAGCCGC
rnacentral:rRNA from 1 species